CGGGGUGUGGCCCAGCAGCCUAAGGCAUCUGCUUUGGGAGCAGAGGAUCGUGGGUGCGAAUCCCACCACCCCGA
rnacentral:tRNA from 1 species